UGCGGCAGUCUUGUGUCGCCAUCAGCGACU
rnacentral:piRNA from 1 species